rnacentral:rRNA from 1 species
AUUGAACGCUGGCGGCAGGCCUAACACAUGCAAGUCGAACGGUAACAGGAAGCAGCUUGCUGCUUUGCUGACGAGUGGCGGACGGGUGAGUAAUGUCUGGGAAACUGCCUGAUGGAGGGGGAUAACUACUGGAAACGGUAGCUAAUACCGCAUAACGUCGCAAGACCAAAGAGGGGGACCUUAGGGCCUCUUGCCAUCGGAUGUUCCCAGAUGGGAUUAGCUAGUAGGUGGGGUAACGGCUCACCUAGGCGACGAUCCCUAGCUGGUCUGAGAGGAUGACCAGCCACACUGGAACUGAGACACGGUCCAGACUCCUACGGGAGGCAGCAGUGGGGAAUAUUGCACAAUGGGCGCAAGCCUGAUGCAGCCAUGCCGCGUGUAUGAAGAAGGCCUUCGGGUUGUAAAGUACUUUCAGCGGGGAGGAAGGGAGUAAAGUUAAUACCUUUGCUAAUUGACGUUACCCGCAGAAGAAGCACCGGCUAACUCCGUG